ACGCUCGACACCUACAGGAGGCAGCAGUAGGGAAUCUUCCACAAUGGGCGCAAGCCUGAUGGAGCAACACCGCGUGAGUGAAGAAGGGUUUCGGCUCGUAAAGCUCUGUUGUUGGAGAAGAACGUGCGUGAGAGUAACUGUUCACGCAGUGACGGUAUCCAACCAGAAAGUCACGGCUAACUACGUGCCAACNGCCGCGGUAAUCUGAGCGGCUGGCAAGGC
rnacentral:rRNA from 1 species